rnacentral:snRNA from 1 species
GGCGAUGAUGAAAGGGCCCCGCUGAAAGCGAUGAUGAGGGUCUUGAGUGCUGAGC